rnacentral:rRNA from 1 species
GAUGAACGCUGGCGGCGUGCCUAAUACAUGCAAGUCGAGCGAACGGACGAGAAGCUUGCUUCUCUGAUGCUAGCGGCGGACGGGUGAGUAACACGUGGAUAACCUACCUAUAAGACUGGGAUAACUUCGGGAAACCGGAGCUAAUACCGGAUGAUAUUUUGAACCGCAUGGUUCAAAAGUGAAAGACGGUCUUGCUGUCACUUAUAGAUGGAUCCGCGCUGCAUUAGCUAGUUGGUAAGGUAACGGCUUACCAAGGCAACGAUGCAUAGCCGACCUGAGAGGGUGAUCGGCCACACUGGAACUGAGACACGGUCCAGACUCCUACGGGAGGCAGCAGUAGGGAAUCUUCCGCAAUGGGCGAAAGCCUGACGGAGCAACGCCGCGUGAGUGAUGAAGGUCUUCGGAUCGUAAAACUCUGUUAUUAGGGAAGAACAUAUGUGUAAGUAACUGUGCACAUCUUGACGGUACCUAAUCGGAAAGCCACGGCUAACUACGUG